AGUUUGAUCCUGGCUCAGGAUGAACGCUAGCUACAGGCUUAACACAUGCAAGUCGAGGGGCAGCGAGAGGAAAGCUUGCUUCCUUGUCGGCGACCGGCGCACGGGUGAGUAACGCGUAUCCAACCUUCCCCAUAGUAGAGGAUAGCCCGGCGAAAGUCGGAUUAAUACUCUAUGUUGUGUCACGAGGACAUCUGAGUAACACUAAAGAUUCAUCGCUAUGGGAUGGGGAUGCGUCUGAUUAGGUAGUCGGCGGGGUAACGGCCCACCGAGCCGACGAUCAGUAGGGGUUCUGAGAGGAAGGUCCCCCACAUUGGUACUGAGACACGGACCAAACUCCUACGGGAGGCAGCAGUGAGGAAUAUUGGUCAAUGGGCGCGAGCCUGAACCAGCCAAGUAGCGUGCAAGGAUGACUGCCCUAUGGGUUGUAAACUGCUUUUAUGCGGGAAUAAAGUCAGGUACGCGUACCUGUUUGUAUGUACCGCAUGAAUAAGGACCGGCUAAUUCCGUGCCAGCCGCCGC
rnacentral:rRNA from 1 species